UAAGGUGUUAAGAAAACCGUUCAUAAUGUAUAGUGUGAGUGAAACGGAGCACAAAACACAGGCAAUAAUUUAUUCUCCUGUAGUCACGGAGAGAACAUUCCUAAGAAGAUCCACGGACCUCAAAAAAAUGAUAAGACAUAAACUUAUGAGAUAAGAUCGAACAAAAGAGUCUCGGAUUUUUUCGGAAGUAGGUAGAUGGAGUCCGACAAAAUUUAGGCUCGGUCACGUAUUAUUAAAAUCUAAAUCAAUAAUAAUAAUAAUGCCUUAAAGUGGACACCUCGGUAAAAAACCGACAGAAAGACCAAAACAGAGAUGGAUUGACAUAAUAAACAAAAAGAUAUUCAGACAACUAAUAGAAUCAUAUAAAAUGGAGGUGAAGUAAUUCAAGACAGAGAGAAAUGGAAACACGUUUGUGUUUGUUACAACAAUCAGUGAUAGCCUUUAAAGCUGUUUGAAAAAAAAAUAAAUUAUCAUUCCAUCUUGAAAAAUCUGAUAACAGUAGCCUCCCGUAGUGCGAAAUAUGCCUGGUUUAAAAAAAAUAAAAUAAAAUAUCUACAAAAAUCCAAAUGUGAGUUUUUCACCAUGACUGUUGUUUAAUCUGUUCACGUUUAAUUUCAUCGCUUUUUGGCCGUACUCAAAUAUCAUUUAGCGUCCUCGACUUGAAAUUUAUUUUUGGAAUCACAACAAUUCGGUACCUAUAGUGAAACAUAACGAAAAAACGGAACUGUUUUCGUGAUCUUAAUAUUAUAGGAUUAUAUAGCUGCUAUUAUUUUAAAUUAAAACG